AUUGAACGCUGGCGGCAGGCCUAACACAUGCAAGUCGAGCGGAUGAAGGGAGCUUGCUCCUGGAUUCAGCGGCGGACGGGUGAGUAAUGCCUAGGAAUCUGCCUGGUAGUGGGGGAGAACGUCCGGAAACGGGAGCUAAUACCGCAUACGACCAGAGGGAGAAAGAGGGGGAUCUUCGGACCUCGCGCUAUCAGAUGAGCCUAGGUCGGAUUAGCUUGUUGGUGGGGUAAAGGCCGACCAAGGCGACGAUCCGUAACUGGUCUGAGAGGAUGAUCAGUCACACUGGAACUGAGCCACGGUCCAGACUCCUACGGGAGGCAGCAGUGGGGAAUAUUGGACAAUGGGCGAAAGCCUGAUCCAGCCCUGCCGCGUGUGUGAAGAAGGUCUUCGGAUUGUAAAGCCCUUUAAGUUGGGAGGAAGGGCAGUAAGUUAAUACCUUGCUGUUUUGACGUUACCAACAGAAUAAGCACCGGCUAACUUCGUG
rnacentral:rRNA from 1 species